CCGUUCUCAGAUCAGCCGUGCGGGCAACAAGCUGGGUUUUUACAGCGUUGGCCCUUUGGCGGAAAUGAGUCACACCGGCCAGAAUAGAAGACCAUGUCAAGACGAUCAAGUCAACGGGCCCAAAUGAGCGCGCCACGCACGCACACACGCACGCACGCUUUGCCUUUUCCACCUCACAAGAAGCUUUGCUCAUCUUUGCGGGUGACGCACGCCCAUUUCGCGUCCACGGAACGAAUACAAGAAAAUCAAGGUUCUUUCAGGGUUUGAGCGUAUCAACUCAGGCCGUUGUUUUGUUUCGACAAGUUUUCCCCUUUUUACAGCAUCAAAAUGAAUUUGAAAAAAAAAAAAGACAUCAAAAUAUCCUUCUCAAUUGAUGUUGUUAAAGGUGUAAAAACAUUUGACAUUUUUUGAUUUGAAAAAAAAAAAAAAGGUGCCGCCAUUGCAAUUGAAUGGAAAAAAUCCCACAACAACCCUAAGCCUUCAAUGAGGAAAACGCUGCUUGGCUUGAGCUCGUUUAUUUGUCAAAAGGGAAUAAAAAUCGGAUGGACGGCCUACAUAAACACAACCAACGUUUGUUUGGGCAAAUGUACAAAUUGACACUUGGUUGGGGGGGGGGGGUGCUCUUUUCAAGCUGCCGACCGCCGGCGGAUGACGAAGGCUCCCCUCUGCAGCUGUCCAAGGUAGAUCCUCAUCUUUGUGCUGUCG